rnacentral:rRNA from 1 species
AACGAACGCUGGCGGCAGGCCUAACACAUGCAAGUCGAGCGAGCAUUUCGGUGCUAGCGGCGGACGGGUGAGUAACGCGUGGGAACGUGCCCUUUUCUGCGGAAUAGUCCUGGGAAACUGGGGGUAAUACCGCAUACGCCCUUUUGGGGAAAGAUUUAUUGGAGAAGGAUCGGCCCGCGUUGGAUUAGGUAGUUGGUGGGGUAAUGGCCCACCAAGCCGACGAUCCAUAGCUGGUUUGAGAGGAUGAUCAGCCACACUGGGACUGAGACACGGCCCAGACUCCUACGGGAGGCAGCAGUGGGGAAUCUUAGACAAUGGGGGCAACCCUGAUCUAGCCAUGCCGCGUGAGUGAUGAAGGCCUUAGGGUUGUAAAGCUCUUUCAGCUGGGAAGAUAAUGACGGUACCAGCAGAAGAAGCCCCGGCUAACUCCGUG